AUUGAACGCUGGCGGCAUGCCUUACACAUGCAAGUCGAACGGUAACAGGUCUUCGGAUGCUGACGAGUGGCGAACGGGUGAGUAAUACAUCGGAACGUGCCCAGACGUGGGGGAUAACGAGGCGAAAGCUUUGCUAAUACCGCAUACGAUCUAAGGAUGAAAGCAGGGGACCGCAAGGACUUGCGCGUUUGGAGCGGCCGAUGGCAGAUUAGGUAGUUGGUGGGAUAAAAGCUUACCAAGCCGACGAUCUGUAGCUGGUCUGAGAGGACGACCAGCCACACUGGGACUGAGACACGGCCCAGACUCCUACGGGAGGCAGCAGUGGGGAAUUUUGGACAAUGGGCGAAAGCCUGAUCCAGCAAUGCCGCGUGCAGGAUGAAGGCCUUCGGGUUGUAAACUGCUUUUGUACGGAACGAAAAGGCUCUGGCUAAUACCUGGGGCACAUGACGGUACCGUAAGAAUAAGCACCGGCUAACUACGUG
rnacentral:rRNA from 1 species